GGUAGGCUCCACCCGCUUUGCCCUUCUCCACUCGCUUUUUUUCUAGGUCCGUGCUGUUGUAAGUCAUUUGAGGGACCUGCGUACAAUCCCAGACCUACUCGUGGGGCAUGUGUGACCCUGUUUAGGCUUGGGUACUCUGCCUCUCCUUUUGCUCCUCUCUGUGAAAUGGGCAGAGGAUGCCCAUUCAAGGAAAAAGAGCAG
rnacentral:lncRNA from 1 species